GUGAACGAGCGACGCCGCGUGCGGGAUGAAGGGCUUCGGCUUGUAAACCGCUUUUGUUCGGGAAGAAUGCCCGGAUCGUGAAUCCGGCAGGGACGGUACCAGACGAAUAAGCCCCGGCUAACUCCGUGCCAGCAGCCGCGGUAAGACGGAGGGGGCAAGCGUUGUUCGGAAUUAUUGGGCGUAAAGGGCGCGUAGGCGGGUUGGUAAGUCUGGCGUGAAAUCUCCACCACUCAACGGGGAGAGGUCGCUGGAAACUGCCGAUCUGGAGUUCGGUAGAGGAUCAUGGAAUUCCAGGUGUAGCGGUGGAAUGCGUAGAUAUCUGGAAGAACACCGGUGGCGAAGGCGGUGAUCUGGGCCGAAACUGACGCUGAGGAGCGAAAGCAUGGGGAGCAAACAGGAUUAGAUACCCUGGUAGUCCAUGCCGUAAACGGU
rnacentral:rRNA from 1 species